AUAGGAGAUGGAUGGGAUAGAGAUGGUUUCGGUCCUUUCUACUGUGAGGCAUCUAAACCUGAUCGAGAUGUUACAAGGGUCACUACAUUUUUCCAACGAAAUGAUGCUAAAUUCAUAUCAAGUGAUGAAUUAUUUACAAAGACAGUCAAUGUGAAUGACACCGGAGUGAUGAUCAGCAUGACUAG